rnacentral:rRNA from 1 species
GCGAGGUGGAGCAAAUCUCAAAAAGACCGUCCCAGUUCGGAUUGCAGGCUGCAACCCGCCUGCAUGAAGUUGGAAUCGCUAGUAAUCGCGGAUCAGCAUGCCGCGGUGAAUACGUUCCCGGGCCUUGUACACACCGCCCGUCACACCAUGAGAGUCGGGAACACCCGAAGUCCGUAGCCUAACCGCAAGGGGGGCGCGGCCGAAGGUGGGUUCGAUAAUUGGGGUGAAGUCGUAACAAGGUAUC